UACAGAGGGUGCGAGCGUCAAUCGGAGUUACUGGGCGUAAAGGGCGCGUAGGUGGUUGUGUGUGAGUGAUGUGAAAGCCCCGGGCUUAACCUGGGAAGUGCAUCGCUAACUGCAUAACUUGAGUAGGUGAGAGGGUAGCGGAAUUUCCGGUGUAGCGGCGAAAUGCGUAGAGAUCGGAAGGAACGUCAAUGGCGAAGGCAGCUACCUGGCACCAUACUGACACUGAGGCGCGAAAGCGUGGGGAGCGAACAGG
rnacentral:rRNA from 1 species